rnacentral:tRNA from 1 species
UCCCCGCUGGCUCAGUGGUAAAGUAUCUGCCUGCAAUGCAGGAGACUCAGGUUCAGUCCCUGGGUCAGGAA